rnacentral:rRNA from 1 species
ACUCCUACGGGAGGCAGCAGUGGGGAAUAUUGCACAAUGGGCGCAAGCCUGAUGCAGCCAUGCCGCGUGUAUGAAGAAGGCCUUCGGGUUGUAAAGUACUUUCAGCAGUGAGGAAGGUGAAGCGUUAAUAGCGGGCCUCAUUUGACGUUUAAGCUGCAGAAGAAGCACCGGCUAACUCCGUGCCAGCAGCCGCGGUAAUACGGAGGGUGCGAGCGUUAAUCGGAAUUACUGGGCGUAAAGCGCAUGCAGGUGGUUUGUUAAGUCAGAUGUGAAAGCCCGGGGCUCAACCUCGGAAUAGCAUUUGAAAACUGGCAGACUAGAGUACUUAGAGGGGGGUAGAAUUUCAGGUGUAGCGGUGAAAUGCGUAGAGAUCU